rnacentral:lncRNA from 1 species
GCAACAAAGAAACCAGGGAGCCAGAAGCAACAUUGUAGCUGCACCUACACAGAGCAGUCCCGGUUUAAAAACAUUUUGAAGUAAUAAAGCUUUAUAUGUAUCUCUGUGUGUGUAGAUAUUUCUGGACAUCUGUUAUUCCCCCAUAAAUCUUGUCGAAUACCCUUUGACAAUUAUGACCCCAAAAGACCCCAAAGCCCUCCCUCAAGUCUGAAACAUCAGGCCAGAUGUCACCGAAGGCCCAACAAGUGGGCAGAGGCCACAGACAACUCCAGCCUCUGGCUUUCCAACUCCUCUGGCACUAGUCACGUGGCCAUGUUUGUUCAGAGUCCUUUCCAAAGGGCUGGGUCUCCAUUUCUGUCAAAAGAAAUUCUGGCAAUAAAGAGUCAAGUCCUUUCAUGGAAGAGAACCUCGCUCCUGGCAGCUUUGUGCAGUCAUGGACCCGAGCACUGGACCAGGAGUCAAGAAAGGCUGAUCUCAAAACCAGCCCCAGGCGCUUAAUAGCUGUAGGACUCUGGUUAAAUAAAAUGACCUUCCUAGUGUUCUUUCCCUGAUGAACAAAGCAGGAUUUUAGGGGAUCCAUUCUUAACAUUGACAGGGACACAAAUAGUUGAAUUAGUGGUUUAAUAGUACUUAUUUGUCCAUUCAUUCCUUGAGUCUAUUAUUGGAUCCUCCUGGCAGGAAGCUGCACACUUGACAGUUCUGGGCCGAGAUUCUGGAAGAUGGAAUUCAAAUCAGGCUUCAGACAUUUACUAUUAGUGUGAUGCUGGCAAAAUGACUUAACUACUAUUUGACUCGGUUUCCUCAUAUGUUAAAUGAGGACCCUGGAGAGGGAAAUGACAAAUCAAUUAAUUUGAGAAGAAACCACAUAAAAACAGGAUCCCAAUGAUGUACAUAACUAGUACAACUUACACUAAUAUAGCUUAAGGAAUGGUACAAUAAAAGAGAAAAGAUCAAUGGUAAAAAUGGCAAAGGUAAAGACUUCUUUAUCAGAAUCCGUCCAACUGGAUUCUCCUUAUUUGCCCAUUUGGUCCAAGGACAAGUAUUUACCACAUUCUAAAGAGCGAUGGAGCAGUUGCUGGGAGAUAUGAAGUCUGCAGAUGUUGAUGGAAUCGUACUCUUUGGGAAAACCGGGAAGAGCAUGAGGAAAGAGGCUGAAAGCGGCAGAUCAGCCAGGAGAAAAUAGUCUAGAUGUUCAAUGAGAAGUUUCUAGAGCUGAAUAAGUCUAGCUGACAUUCUGCUCGGACCCCCUACUAGAACAGCUCAAUGAACCA